UACGUAGGGAGCAAGCGUUGUUCGGAUUUACUGGGCGUAAAGGGCGCGUAGGCGGCAAUUCAAGUCAGCUGUGAAAUCUCCGGGCUUAACUCGGAACGGUCAGCUGAUACUGCUUUGCUAGAGUGCGGAAGGGGCAAUCGGAAUUCUCGGUGUAGCGGUGAAAUGCGUAGAUAUCGAGAGGAACACCUGAGGUGAAGACGGGUUGCUGGGCCGACACUGACGCUGAGUGCGCGAAAGCGUGGGGAGCAAACAGG
rnacentral:rRNA from 1 species